CCGUCGGAUGCGGCAAACCCAUCGCCACCUCCAGCCUGUGUCCGUCCCCCCCUCCCCGGGCACGGAGGAGACACGCGCCAGCAGCAGUCCCCGCCUCCAGCCAUGCGUGCAGCCGGAGGCGGCGCGCUGCGGCUCGAUCGGGGCGAGGGAGCACUUCGGGUCACCGGCGUGUCCGCCGCCGGCAGCACUGAGGACACGGAGACGCGGAACCACGGGCCGGAGACGCGCCCGUGCAGCCGCACCGCCCGCCCGGGGCACCGGGCCACCGCGUGCAGCAAACCCCCAGUCCGCGGGAGCUGCGCCUCCCUGCUCAGCCCCACACGGAUGCGCCGCUCCAGGUCAACCCGUCGGUGCAGACGUGGGAGUAUGUUCCUCCCGCCGGAGGGACACACGGGACACGCGACCUGUCCAAAUACAGGACCGCGCUUGAUUUCUCGGGAAACGCCGUUCCCCGGAGCCUGGCCGGUAUUCGCGUCUCCGGUGCCCGUUCCCACUGCUCUCCAGUGCAAUCGUCCUACGCCCCCGUGUACUCUCGCGAACAGCGCCCACGAUCCGCUUUCAAAUACGGGGUGAUGCUCACCCGAAGGGAUAAAUCAAUGACACCGAGGGGAGCCCCCCCGGCAUCCCACUCACACCGUCUAGGAAGGCGUGUGGCGCACGCAGCUCCCCCCACGCCCACCAACUCCCGCAAACACACCGCAAGUGAAAUACACCCGUGGUGCAUCAGCGCGCGUAGAGCCUGGCUCUGCUCUACGUAGGAUGCUCUUGGCCUGUGGAUUAUUACUACAGUAAAAUGCUCUGUGCCUGAGAUUUUUUUAGUCCCUAUGGCAGCUCUGGACAACAAUUCACGUUAAAAUUAAUGGGAACUGAAUGUCAAACGCCCUUUUGAAGAUCUUAGCAAAAUCGAUACAUGAGCAUCUGGCACCAAACCCCACGUAUGUGUGUGCCCCAAGCCUUCUGGACGCAUGAGUCAGGCUCUAAACAUAGCAGCUGCUGGGCCUUGUGUCUCUGAUGGGUCAACCCAAAGCCCCAGAGCUAAAUGCUCUAGACUUUUGGAAGAACUUGGACCUGAAUUUGGCAGUUUGGGCCCAUUUUCGGUAAAAUCUCUCCUAUUAAUAUCCACUGUACAGAAAUAAAGAUUAACAGUGAUUUAUUUUUGAGAAUGCUGGCUCCCAAAGGACGACUCCUAUUCUUAUUCCCAAAGAAGCUUAUGUAACAUCCAUGUUUCCUGGUCUGAAGUUUGGAGAGGAAACCAGAUUCACUUCUCCAUGAUGUGGCACAAAAAGUGCAGCGUAUAGACUGGGUAUGUCAGAGCAAUCUGAUGAUAAUAUGCAAGAUCUCACUGACUCAGAGAGGGACUUGAUAUAUUUAUCAUUACAAUGUCUCUGGACUUAGUAUGCAUGCCAGAUGAGGUCAGUGUGUAUUGAGAGUAUUAUGCAAAAGAUGCCCAAAGCUUAAUGGCUUGAAUGGCCCAUAUCACACUCCAAAGAGAGCUACUUCCAGGCCAAUGAGGAGAGUUACAAGAAAAAUAGUGGGCAUUCACUGGUAGCUACACUGGGAUGUAACUACAGAUUCAGCACACGGAUCACUUGAUCAUUACCUGUUCUGUUCAUUCCUUCUGAAGCACCUGGCAUAGGCCACUGUCCGAAGACAGGACACUGGGCUAGAUGGGCCUUCGGUCUGACCCAGUAUGGCCGUUCGUAUGUUGUUCUUAUUGGGAAUUACAUCAGAUGCUGUUAUAAAAUACUGUACCUAAAACCACUGUACUUUCCCCCUGGGACGCAUGGGAAAUGACUGAAAGCAAUAUAAUGAAGCUGAAGGAAAAGAAGGCAGGGUUUCAGUUUUUUAAAGUUGAUGACAAAGGCAUGAUCAGAAUACAGGCCAAGGAGCUAGGACCUGAGGUCUAGAUUCAACCAGGUACUUAAGAGUGUGCUUAAAAUUAAACACACACUUAUGUACUACUGAAGUGUUAAGCAGCUGCUUAGGUGCUUGGCUGAAUUGGUGCCCAAGGCCCAGCUCCUCAAAGCUAUUUAGGUACUUAAAAUCUUUUGAAAAUCUGGGCCCAAAUUCCUGAGCUCCAAUAACAACUCACUGUGUGGCCUUGGAGAGUCACCUACCUUCUGUAGGACCCUCUGUAGGGCUUGCUGAGGUCAGUGGGAGUUUUGCCACUGACCUCAAUGAGAAGAGGAUGGAGUUGAGCGUGCCUCAGUUUCCUGAUCUAUAAAAAGUGCAUAACUUAUUACCUAUCACCUAAUGUUUAUAAAUAAUCAUCAAGGUGCUAAAUGUUUUAUAUCACAAUAGUAAUAAAGGUGUCUUUUGUUCCAUUUCUGUAACAAAUGAACCAGUGUUUCCAGUACAUACAUACAUGUAUGUAUGGUUUAGUUUCUUUAAAAAAAAAAAAAAAUUAAAAAAAAGCAGCCAGACCCUUUGGAAAACCAGAACUUGUCUGCCACCUCCUAUCAGAAUCUGGGACUUUCAAAAGCACGAGAGACGAUGGCCAUUUCAUUGUCUUGGGACCUGUUUAUGAAGCUAUUUUCACUGCCAACAAUUCUCUCUUGCUGGACUUUGGAAAAACCUGUGAAAAAUCACAGAUGGGAAAAUUUUGUGGAGUAGGAGGUUUUGCGAACAUUGGGAAAUAUUUGCAUUAGGGUUUGCAAAACUAGUGGAAGUCCGCAAGGAAACCAGCACUCUGCAUUAGCAAAUCAUACCCCAUCCCACAAGCCAGGCUGGUACAAGUGGGUGGCAUGUACAGGAGUUAUAAACUGUCUCCUCUUAGAUUCUGUCUCUUUCCCUGCCAAAACUUCAUGUUUCUCUGUCUUGUUUGUUUCUCCAACCUUCACAGAUUUUAAGGCCAGAAGGGACUGUUAGAUCAUCUAGUCUGUCCUCAUCCAUCACACAGGCCAGAGAAAUUCACCCAGUGAUUCCUACAGUGGAGUGCCAGCUGUGAGCUGUGUUCACUGGGAACUGGACUGAGACAGAGAGUUCAUUUUACAAGGAUUCCUGACAGUCCUCAAUCUUCCUAGUCUCACCAACGGCUCCUGUCAUGCUGUGUUCUCCAAGCAGGGAUAUGGCAGCUCAGCACACAUGGCGUCACCACCACAUGGCCAGUCAGUGCAAGGCAUGGUGCAAAGGAGAGGAUGACCAGAAAGCAGCCCUGCCCCCUGACUCAGGCAGGCAACCAACCGUGAACUCCACCGUCCAGCACAACAGACCUGCCCUGGGGAGUUAGGCAUCAGGAGCCUCAUGGUGAGGGCAGGGGAGGCAAGGCAAUGGGAGAUGCUGCAGCUAGGGAGCAAGAUGGAGCUUCCCAGCGGGCGUGAUCAGAAGGGGGAGUACCAGGCCGGAGCCUCAUGGAGUUAUCCAGGAGGGGAGGGACUGGGUGGUGCUGGAAAACCAAGGGACUGAAAUUAACUGGCACCCCCUGCAGGCAAUUCACUCACACCCUCAGCCAGCACUGGAGAAGCAGCCACUGUAUGAGUAGCUGGUUUCUCCCUGCCAAGGCUGCUAUGAAUUUCCAUGCCACCUGUGCUGGUUAUUUUCUGCCAGAUUAAGACACCCAGCAGCCACACUAAACAACAGCAUCUUCCACCUGGCUCCUGCUUCCCCGCUGAAGUAAGGCAAGGAGUGGACUCUGGAGCCGACCUGGACGGCACGUGCAGAGGUACUAUACGUCUGCUACAAAAUGACAGCAAUCAGCAAGGUAAAGUAAGUCUGACGGGGCAGCGACGUAUUGACAUGCAGUAUCAAAUCCCACUGUUUGUGCCCUGUCUGCACAUGGGAGUGCAUUCACCAGGUCUGGAAUGUCUGUGGGAUCUGUGGGAGACUGGAUCAGAGGCAUGACAGAACGAUCCCAUCAAUCAGCGGCUCACUCCGUUCCUGUCAGCAGCAGGAAACCCAGCCAGCAAGAGCCACCAACAGCAGCAGCGGGAAAUAAACAGAGCAACAGCCAGCUGCACUUGUUGCUGACGGGGAGCAGGGAGGGAGAAGCUGCAGAAAACAAGAUACAAUUGUGAAGGUGAAAAGAGGGAUCGGAUGUUUACAUGGAUAGCCAGAAUAUCCAGCAUUAUAAUAGCUACCGCUAACAAAAAGAGGGAGAGAAAACCUCAUGCUUUCGGGUUUAAACCAAACUCUAUUAGAGAUUAGGAUGAGACCUUCAUGGAGGGCAGAUUAUCCCGCAUGUGCCAACUGCGGGGUUGCUUGCACCUUCCUCUGAAUCAGCUGGGGUUGGCCACUGUCAGAGACGCUGGACUAGAUGGACCGAGGGUCUGACACAGCCUGGCUACCAAUGGGUAAAUUUCCACCCGUUGGCUUCAGAAGCAGCAGCUGGAGAUUCAGGAGAAGAGUGGUAAAUCCACAGAGGGACACAAAGGAAAGGAAGUCAACAGAGGGAGAGGGAAUGGAAAUGAACUGCCCAGAGAAAGAAGAAAUCUAAAGGAGGCGGAGAGGUUGACAAAAGAAAGGAGGAGGAAAAGAACUCAAAGAUGUGGCGAAGGGAGAAAGGGAAACCACAAUUAGAGGGAGACAAUCACUAGAAGGGGCUUCAAUGCAGUUCCACGUGGAGAAACAUCCAUUCAUCUCUCUGCCACACAAACACACCACUAUCGGCCCCAUUCUUGGCAGUCUCAGAGAAGUUUAGGAUGGAAUGGACCAAGGACAAUGGGCCCCAAUGGUUGGGCUUCAGGGAGUAGUGGGGGGAGUUUAUCUGCGCUGCCCCAUCUGAGCAUUAACAGAAGUUUCAGAGUCUAGGGUUUCACAUCUAAAUUCUCAUGGGAAAAAACAAAGGAAAGUGAGAAAAGAUGAUAAUUAAAAAAAACCCUUCAGGGUCAGAAAGGAGAAGAGGUUUAUUGCUCCCAAGUGAGCAGCACUGGGAAGGCCAGAAUAGCAUUUGCAUCUUCAUGAUCCAUCUUAGACUCAGCAACACUGAAAAAAACCCAGCCCAACAGUUAAGAUCCAUCUCUUCAGUGCCAGUAAUUUCUGAAAUACAGACGCCAGACCUAUCAGAUUGCACACACUGAACAUAACAGGAUAGAUAGAGAAAAAAAGGCAGCAGAAUUUAGUAACUGUGGUCUAGUGGUUAGAAUAGGGGGCUGGGAGCCAGGAAUUCCAGAGUCCUGAUCCUGGAUGUUACAGACUUCUGUGGCCUUGGAUAAGUCACUUAAACUCUCUGUGCCUCAGUUUUCCCUCAUCUGUAAACUCAAGCUAAUAAGCCUUCCCUUCCUCACAGGGGAUUUGUAAGACUAAUUGAACUAAUGUUUGUAAAAAAUUUGAAGAUAGAAAUGCAGAGUACUAUUACAUAUUUAAAAUUACUGUCCAGGGACUUAGCAACUCAAACACUAGCACUCCUAGGGGAAAAAAAAGGAAAAAGACAAAGGCGUGGGGGGGAACAAAAACUACUCACUGAUUUGUGAUAAGCCCACUGUCUGGUCAGCUAGUGCACAUCCGACAGAUGCCAUAGGGUUAGAAAUACCAUAGAUAAAAUAUGAGCUGUAUUGUCUGUCUUUGUAGAUCAGGGAUCGGCAACCUUUGGCAUGUCGCCCAUCAGCAAAACCCGCUCGUGGGCCGAGACGUUUGUUUACCUGUAGCGUCUGCAGGUUUGGCCAGUUGCAGCUCCUGCUGGCCGUGGUUCACCGUUCCAGGCCAAUGGGGGCUGCGGGAAGCGGCGACCAGCACAUCCCUCAGCC